rnacentral:tRNA from 1 species
GCCCAGGUGGCGGAAUUGGUAGACGCGCACGGUUCAGGUCCGUGUGACCGCAAGGUCUUGGAAGUUCGAGUCUUCUCCUGGGCACCA